GUCAGCAUUUGCUGUCCACUUCAUUCAGUCCUAUUUCGUCCUAAAGUGUGAUCCAACCGUUGAAGAUUUGUACAUAGAGCCAUGUGUAAUUGCUAGCAGUGCAGCAAUGUGUGAUCCAUCAAGAGCAGCUUGGAUAUACUGGGAUAAGAAGAGUUUGGAGUCAUGAAAGAAUAGCGUAUGAGGAGCAAAGCAGGUUUCCCAUUGGCCUUCUUAGUCUCUCAUGGAGGUGGUUUUGAAGAACCAUCUUUUUGAGAAUAACAUAUAAAUAAAAUCAAUGACAAAUUCUCAGAGUAAAGCACUGAGCAAAUUUUUCCAAUGACUAUGGUUGGAAAUAAAGCUAAUGUGGACAUUGCAGUUAGAUAACUCUUGAAUAAGGACCACAGCU
rnacentral:lncRNA from 1 species